GUUCAAUUAGAACAUAAUUAAAGUGGCAUGCUAGAUUCUGACUUCUGCUGGUGUCAAAAAUAAUCUAAUAGAGUGUACUGUCACCUCUACAGCAGUUCCAAAGUCACACAGGCAUGUGUGACUAUGAUUCUUCCAUGCUCACCCCUAUAUCAUGGUGCUCAGCAGUCAGAUAUGCCAGAUUCAUCUCAGCUCACCUGGAAUAAGCCACAGCUUUGUGCCAGUUUCAAAGAUAGUCUUAAAUAUGACUUGCAGUAUUUUACUGAAUCCUGGCAGAAGGUGUUAUUACCUCCAUUUUUCAUAAGGGGUAGCUAAAGCUCAGGAAGAUUCUAUGAUAUGUCCAAAGCCAUAAAGUCACUCAUCCAACAAUUUCUGUAGCCUUGAAUGAGUUUCCUCACCUUUGAAAUUUGGAAUUUUGAUCUGAAAAGGAAUUUAUGCUUUCAUCACUGAUGCAUAUGUAGUUUGCCCUAAUAUGUACACAAACAUGCAUGUGCAUAUAUUUACAUGGAUGCCUGAAUGCAUAUGUGUGCAUGGCCACUCAAGGACAGUGAUCAACAGAAUAGAUGCUCAACAAUGUUUUGAAGUGUUGCCAUUUUGCUUUAGUUUUCAAAGUUCUCCAAAGUGUCUCACCUAGCUUCCCGCCUUUCUCAUGCCUAAUGACACAUUGACCUCCAUGAACUCUCUAUUUUUUUCUAUUAAGGUGCAAACAGAAGCAACACCAAUACUUGGUGACCCCAAAGACCAUAUGGUACUCAGUUCUCCCGUCUGUCUGUCUUGUUCUCACAGCACCAAUCCAGGGGACAAAGGCCUUAGGUGGAACUUGAAGAAGGUCAUUAGAGCUAUCUUGGAUGUCUGUUUUUCUGAUCUCCCACUAGUGGCUUGGUAAAAGGAACGGAGUUGGUUCAUGGUGGUUAAGAACAUAGAAUGAGAAGUUGGAAAAGUGUGAGUUUCUGUUCAGGCUCUGUCAAUAUUUGUAUAAAUUUAAGCAAGUUAAAGACUUACCCAAGCCUCAGUUUUAUCAUCUAUAAAAU
rnacentral:lncRNA from 1 species